rnacentral:rRNA from 1 species
AUUGAACGCUGGCGGCAGGCCUAACACAUGCAAGUCGAGCGGUUGAGAGUAGCUUGCUACUUGAUGCAGCGGCGGACGGGUGAGUAAUGCAUGGGAAUCUGCCUGGUAGUGGGGGACAACGUUUCGAAAGGAACGCUAAUACCGCAUACGCCCUACGGGGGAAAGGGGGGAGUCUUCGGACCUCUCGCUAUCAGAUGAGCCCAUGUCAGAUUAGCUAGUUGGGGGGUAAAGGCCCACCAAGGCGACGAUCUGUAACUGGUCUGAGAGGAUGAUCAGUCACACUGGAACUGAGACACGGUCCAGACUCCUACGGGAGCAGCAGUGGGGAAUAUUGGACAAUGGGCGAAAGCCUGAUCCAGCCAUGCCGCGUGUGUGAAGAAGGCC